rnacentral:rRNA from 1 species
GACGAACGCUGGCGGCGUGCUUAUCACAUGCAAGUCGAACGGAAAGGCCCUGCUUUUGUGGGGUGCUCGAGUGGCGAACGGGUGAGUAACACGUGAGUAACCUGCCCUUGACUUUGGGAUAACUUCAGGAAACUGGGGCUAAUACCGGAUAGGAGCUCCUGCUGCAUGGUGGGGGUUGGAAAGUUUCGGCGGUUGGGGAUGGACUCGCGGCUUAUCAGCUUGUUGGUGGGGUAGUGGCUUACCAAGGCUUUGACGGGUAGCCGGCCUGAGAGGGUGACCGGCCACAUUGGGACUGAGAUACGGCCCAGACUCCUACGGGAGGCAGCAGUGGGGAAUAUUGCACAAUGGGCGGAAGCCUGAUGCAGCAACGCCGCGUGCGGGAUGACGGCCUCGGGUUGUAAACCGCUUUCGCCUGUGACGAAGCGUGAGUGACGGUAAUGGGUAAAGAAGCACCGGCUAACUACGUG